rnacentral:rRNA from 1 species
GACGAACGCUGGCGGCGCGCCUAACACAUGCAAGUCGAACGAGCGAGAGAGAGCUUGCUUUCUCGAGCGAGUGGCGAACGGGUGAGUAACGCGUGAGGAACCUGCCUCAAAGAGGGGGGCAACAGUUGGAAACGACUGCUAAUACCGCAUAAGCCCACGGUGCCGCAUGGUACAGAGGGAAAAGGAGCAAUCCGCUUUGAGAUGGCCUCGCGUCCGAUUAGCUAGUUGGUGAGGUAAUGGCCCACCAAGGCGACGAUCGGUAGCCGGACUGAGAGGUUGAACGGCCACAUUGGGACUGAGACACGGCCCAGACUCCUACGGGAGGCAGCAGUGGGGAAUAUUGCACAAUGGGGGAAACCCUGAUGCAGCGACGCCGCUUGGAGGAAGAAGGUCUUCGGAUUGUAAACUCCUGUUGUUGGGGAAGAUAAUGACGGUACCCAACAAGGAAGUGACGGCUAACUACGUGCCAGCAGCCGCGGUAAAACGUAGGUCACUAGCGUUGUCCGGAAUUACUGGGUGUAAAGGGAGCGCAGGCGGGAAGACAAGUUGGAAGUGAUAUCUAUGGGCUCAACCCAUAAACUGCUUUCAAAACUGUUUUUCUUGAGUAGCGCAGAGGUAGGCGGAAUUCCCGGUGUAGCGGUGGAAUGCGUAGAUAUCGGGAGGAACACCAGUGGCGAAGGCGGCCUACUGGGCACCAACUGACGCUGAGGCUCGAAAGUGUGGGUAGCAAACAGGAUUAGAUACCCUGGUAGUCCACACCGUAAACGAUGAUUACUAGGUGUUGGAGGAUUGACCCCUUCAGUGCCGCAGUUAACACAAUAAGUAAUCCACCUGGGGAGUACGACCGCAAGGUUGAAACUCAAAGGAAUUGACGGGGGCCCGCACAAGCAGUGGAGUAUGUGGUUUAAUUCGACGCAACGCGAAGAACCUUACCAAGUCUUGACAUCCCUUGACAGACAUAGAAAUGUGUUUUCUCUUCGGAGCAAGGAGACAGGUGGUGCAUGGUUGUCGUCAGCUCGUGUCGUGAGAUGUUGGGUUAAGUCCCGCAACGAGCGCAACCCUUAUGGUCAGUUACUACGCAAGAGGACUCUGGCCAGACUGCCGUUGACAAAACGGAGGAAGGUGGGGAUGACGUCAAAUCAUCAUGCCCUUUAUGACUUGGGCUACACACGUACUACAAUGGCGUUAAACAAAGAGAAGCAAGACCGCGAGGUGGAGCAAAACUCAGAAACAACGUCCCAGUUCGGACUGCAGGCUGCAACUCGCCUGCACGAAGUCGGAAUUGCUAGUAAUCGUGGAUCAGCAUGCCACGGUGAAUACGUUCCCGGGCCUU